rnacentral:rRNA from 1 species
UACGUAGGGUGCGAGCGUUGUCCGGAAUUAUUGGGCGUAAAGAGCUCGUAGGCGGUUUGUCGCGUCUGCUGUGAAAUCCCGAGGCUCAACCUCGGGCCUGCAGUGGGUGCGGGCAGACUGGAGUGCGGUAGGGGAGAAUGGAACUCCUGGUGUAGCGGUGGAAUGCGCAGAUAUCAGGAAGAACACCGAUGGCGAAGGCAGUUCUCUGGGCCGUAACUGACGCUGAGGAGCGAAAGCGUGGGGAGCGAACAGG